rnacentral:lncRNA from 1 species
CCGGGAACCCCGAACAUCCCCUUUCUCUACUCUUUCCCUUUGGAGUCUAUAGAGGGAGAAGCAGAGCCUAAGGCUUCAUCAGUUUGAAUACUGGCUGGGGCUGGGCAAGUUAGUGGCUCAAAGUGUUGAAUCUGUCCCUAAAGCAGGGACAGAAAUGGAGGCUCAGGAGGUAGAGGUGGCAGUGGGCGUGCAGGAGAAGCUGUAGGUCAGGAGGUAGAGGUGGCAGUGGGCGUGCAGGAGAACUGUAGGUCAGAGUGGAGAGGUGGCAGUGGGCGUGCAGGAGAAGGUGUAGGUCAGGGGGUAGAGGUGGCAGUGGGCGUGCAGGAGAAGCUGUAGGUCGGGAGGCAGAGGUGGCAGUGGGCGUGCAGGAGAAGCUGUAGGUCGGAGAGGGUGCAGAGUGGAGAACAGAUGAGCUGGAGUCACACCAUGCCCUAUACCCAGCCAGAGGCCGAAGUGAGCCUGUCACGGUAAUGCCACUGCCUGCUUGAUUCCCUCCCAUGCCUAGCCUGGGUUCUUCAUGAUCCCUGAGGCCCUCUUUGAUGUCAUCCCGCUGCCUCAAAACCUGUGUGUGCUGGUGGCUCCCUCUGCUUUCCUUCCAGAUGACUCCUUCGCUUCAGCUCAAAUGUCACCUUUGGCUGUUAAAAUCCUUUCCGGAGGAAGUUGUAAACAAUGCCUACCCCUCCUCCCGAGGUCUCUGAUUCCACUCCAGGGAAGAUUGCUCUGGGGGAGCCAAUGAGUUUGUUGGGAUUACUUCCAGAGCAUAGGUGAGGGGUUAGUUACUUGAAUAUGAGUGCUGCCCACCAAAAGACCGCACUGAAAAGUCUUUACCCAGCAGGGGUGAUGGU